GUGCUCGCUUCGGUAGCACAUAUACUAAAAAUUGGAACGAUACAGAGAUUAGCAUGGCCCCUGCGCAAGGAUGACACGAAAAAAAAAAAAAAGAAAAGAAAUCUG
rnacentral:snRNA from 1 species